UACGGGAGGCAGCAGUGGGGAAUAUUGCACAAUGGGCGAAAGCCUGAUGCAGCUAUGCCGCGUGUAUGAAGAAGGCCUUAGGGUUGUAAAGUACUUUCAUCGGGGAGGAAAAACAAAACUAAUAAUUUUAUUUCUUGACGUUACCCGAAAAAGAAGCACCGGCUAACUCCGUGCCAGCAGCCGCGGUAAUACGGAGGGUGCUAGCGUUAAUCAGAAUUACUGGGCGUAAAGAGCACGUAGGUGGUUUUUUUAAAGUCAGAUGUGAAAUCCCUGGGCUUAACCUAGGAACUGCAUUUUGAAACUGAAAUACUAGAGUAUCGUAGAGGGAGGUAGAAUUCUAGGUGUAGCGGUGAAAUGCGUAGAUAUCUGGAGGAAUACCUGUGGCGAAAGCGGCCUCCUAAACGAAAUCUGACACUGAGGUGCGAAAGCGUGGGGAGCAAACAGGGAUUAGAUACC
rnacentral:rRNA from 1 species